GGCCUAGUUUCAUGUCACAUUUUUUUUUCUAUAUUUUAAAGAGAAAAUCUAAAAGUCAAAUAGGGAUUUGAUUCUCUUACUAACAGAGUCUGUUAACUCCAUAAUUGAAAUAGUAAAAAAAAUAAAAUAAAAUGCAUGCCUAAGAAGGACUCUUCAUGACUGUUCGUAUCAUCUUUCUUUCUCAUCAAGCCUCUCUACCAUUAUCUUCCUCAUC
rnacentral:lncRNA from 1 species